AGCUGAUCACUGGGCGUAAAGCGUGCGCAGGCGGUUUUGUAAGACAGAAGUGAAAUCCCCGGGCUCAACCUGGGAACUGCCUUUGUGACUGCAAGGCUAGAGUACGGCAGAGGGGGAUGGAAUUCCGCGUGUAGCAGUGAAAUGCGUAGAUAUGCGGAGGAACACCGAUGGCGAAGGCAAUCCCCCUGGGCCUGUACUGACGCUCAUGCACGAAAGCGUGGGGAGCAAACA
rnacentral:rRNA from 1 species